GCCGUGCAGGGAGGUCGCCGUGCAAGUGCCGAGUUCGCGUACGUGGCGCCUUACUACGGACGAAGCUCCGCGUAUCUCUGUGGACACUUGUGCACCAGCCGCUGUGUCGUCGACGACGGAAUCCGACAGGAACCAGACCACAGUGAACACGAUCGAAAGUCUUGGUGGCAAGGACUCAAAGUACACAGCAGUGAAUGCAGCUGAAGUAAUAAAAUGGAUGCCGGUAAGAAACAUGAGAAGCCUCCUAACCCACGAGCAUCAGCUAAUCCACUUUCAGCCUUAACAUAUUGGUGGAUACUUGAUACAUUCAAGAAAGGCUACAAAAGAGAUCUGGAAAUAGAAGAUUUAUUUGUUCCUCUUAAGGAGCACAGAUCUGAUCUUCUUGGAGAUAGGAUUGAAAGGAUAUGGGAGGAUGAGCUGAAAAGAGCCAAACAAGCAAAUAGAUGUCCAAGUUUAACACGUGUGCUUUGUAGAUGCUUUGGUCUGAAGAUAAUGGCUUACGGCUUGGUCCUUGCAGCAACUGAACUAUUUUUAAGACUCCAACAACCUGUCUUCCUGGGUUAUCUGAUAAGAUACUUCACUUCACACAGCCAGAAGGAAAUUCUGCAGGAAAAGCUUACACAACCUUUGUUCUUAGGUCGACUGAUACGUUUUUUCAAUCCUGGAAGUGACAUUUCCGAAGAAGAGGCAUAUGGAUAUGCAGCUGCUGUUAUUUUAUGUUCAGCAUUCAACAUAUUUGUUAUUCAUCCAUAUAUGAUGGCUAUUCUCCAUAUGGGCAUGAAAAUAAGGGUAGCAUGCUGUUCACUUAUAUACAGGAAGGCACUGAAACUGAGCAAGACAGCACUAGGUGAAACAACAGCAGGCCAAAUUGUGAACCUACUUUCAAAUGAUGUUAAUCGUUUUGAUGUUGCUGUAAUAUUUGUCCAUUAUCUAUGGUUGGGACCUGUAGAAACAGUAAUUGUAGCAUAUUUUCUGUGGAAUAUAGUAGGAGUAUCAGCACUAAUAGGUGUGGCAUCACUGCUGCUCUUCAUACCACUGCAAGGAUACCUGGGGAAAAAAACAUCUACCUACAGAUUAAAAACAGCCAUAAGGACAGAUGAACGUGUCAGACUAAUGAAUGAAAUAAUUAGUGGAAUUCAAGUUAUAAAGAUGUAUACAUGGGAAAAACCAUUUUCAAAGCUUGUGUCUCAAGCCAGGAGGCAUGAAAUUAAAUCCAUAAGGGUCACAUCGUACAUUCGUGGUAUACUGCUUUCAUUCAUCAUGUUUACCACCAGAAUAUCAAUAUUUCUGACUAUCUUAGCAUAUGUUUUAUUAGGAUAUGAGAUAACAGCAGAAAAGGUUUUUGUUAUGACAUCAUAUUAUAACAUCCUGAGACAGACAAUGACAGUUUUCUUUCCACAAGGAAUCUCCCAAGUGGCUGAAGGCAUGGUGUCAAUAAAAAGAUUACAGAAAUUUCUUCUGUAUGAGGAAACAAUAAUUCAUCAGCCAAACAUGAGGAUGUCUGUCAAAACUGAUGAAAAUAAUAAAGAUACUCUGCCAGUUAAAACAAAACAGGUAGCAGAUGGUGUUGAAGGCAAUGGUGUGGCUUUAGACUGUAUUAAGUCUCAGAAUGAGAUGAAUGACAAAUCUUGUGAAAAAGUAAAUUCUGCACCAUCUGGUGGAAUAAUUCUGGAAAAAGCUACAGCUAAGUGGACCUCAGCUGCUAAUGAGAAUACAUUGACAGACAUAUCUUUGUCACUGCAUCCAGGCCAGUUGAUUGCGAUAAUAGGUCCUGUAGGGGCUGGAAAGACUUCACUAUUACACGUAAUUCUUAGAGAGCUGGAACUGUCAAGUGGUACACUUAAAAUCAAUGGGAGUGUUUCCUAUGCAUCACAGGAACCCUGGAUGUUUGCAGGUUCUGUGAGACAAAAUAUUCUUUUUGGCCAGCCAUAUGUUCGUGAAAGAUACAACCAUGUUGUGAAUGUUUGUGCACUGAAGCGUGAUUUCCAGCUCCUUCCUUAUGGGGACAAAACUAUAGUUGGUGAAAGAGGAGUUUCCCUCAGUGGUGGACAGAGAGCACGUGUCAAUCUUGCAAGAGCCAUUUACAAAAAUGCAGACAUUUAUCUUCUAGAUGAUCCCUUAUCAGCUGUUGACACACACGUUGGGAAACAUUUGUUUGAAGAUUGCAUAACAGAACAUCUCAAAGACAAAGCCAGGAUUCUUGUAACACAUCAGCUACAGUACCUGAAACAUGUUGAUAAAAUUGUCAUCCUGAAUAAUGGUCAAAUAGAGGCAAUGGGUACAUACAGUGAACUUCAAGCCAGUGGCCUGGAUUUUGCUUCUCUGCUGAAAGAAACAGAGAAUGAACCUGAAGAAGACCAGUUAUCUGAUGACAUUUCAUCUCUCAAGAGUAUUGCUCGUCUAUCUCUUGGGAGUGUGAACUCAGUUGAUGAAACUAAGCAACAGGAGCCAGUAGAAGUGGCAGAAAUGAGAACUUCAGGUCGUGUUGGAGGCCAUGUUUACAAAGGAUAUUUCAGUGCUGGUGGCAACUGCUGUGUCAUCUUCACAAUGUUUUUCAUGUUCUUCUUGGCACAAUUUGCAGCCAGUGGUGCAGAUUAUUGGCUUACAUACUGGACAAAUGUCGAGGAGCUUCGUAUGCAGAACAACAUUACUAAUUCUUCUGUCAGUGAAGAUAGCAUGGAAAUACCUGCUGACAGUACCCUUAUGAGCAGGGAGAUGUGCAUCUAUGUUUUUACCGCUGUAUCUGUUGCAGUGAUAAUUGUAUCCUUGACACGUUCAUUUCUUUUCUUUAUGGUAUGCAUGCGAGCAUCUAUGAAUUUGCAUGACCGUAUGUUCGAAUGCAUUACCAGAGCAAGAAUGUACUUCUUCAACACAAAUACAUCUGGUCGAAUAUUGAACAGAUUUUCAAAGGACAUGGGCUGUAUUGAUGAAAUGCUGCCACAAGCAAUGAUUGAUACACUACAGAUUGGCCUAGCACUUCUUGGUAUCAUUGUGGUUGUGGCAGUUGUUAACGUUUCACUUCUGAUACCUACUGCUGUUAUUGGGAUUGUAUUCUAUAUACUUCGCCUGUUCUAUCUGUCCACAUCUCGGAGUGUCAAAAGACUGGAAGGGAUAACUAGAAGUCCAGUUUUUGCUCACUUGAAUGCCUCACUUCAGGGUCUGACAACAAUAAGAGCCUAUGGAGCUCAAGAAGUGCUGGAGAAGGAAUUUGACAAUCAUCAGGAUUUACAUUCCUCAGCAUGGUUCAUUUUCAUUGCUUCAAGUCGAGCAUUUGGGUUUUGGCUGGAUGUAGUGUGUUUGGUAUACAUAGCACUGGUCACACUCAGUUUCCUGGUAAUUGGAGGAGAACGGUUUGGAGGAAAUGUUGGCCUCGCCAUCACACAAUCAAUUGGGCUGACUGGAAUGUUUCAGUGGGGCAUGAGGCAGUCAGCUGAACUAGAAAACCAAAUGACUUCAGUGGAACGUGUUUUGGAGUACACUACUCUGGAAAAGGAACCUUCACUGGAGUCGGAACAAGGUAAAAAGCCACCUGCCAACUGGCCAAAGAAUGGAGAGAUUGUGUUCAAGAACAUGUAUUUGAGGUAUGCUAAGGAUGAGCCUCCAGUGCUGAAGAAUUUGAACUUCGUCGUCCAAGCAAAAGACAAGGUGGGUAUUGUGGGCCGCACUGGAGCAGGAAAGUCGUCUUUAAUAGCAUCACUGUUUAGGCUGGCUGAUAUUGAGGGAUCUAUUAUUAUAGAUAAGAUCGACACUGCUACAAUUGGAUUGCAUGAUUUGCGUAGCAAAGUUUCUAUUAUUCCUCAAGAACCAGUUCUCUUCUCGGGAACAAUGCGUAAAAACUUGGACCCAUUUGAUGAACAUCCUGAUCAUGUAUUGUGGAAAGCUCUUGAAGAGGUGGAACUGAAAGAAGCUGUUGAGGACCUGACAGCUGGCUUAAAUUCAAAAAUGUCCGAGGGGGGCUCAAAUUUCAGUGUGGGACAACGACAAUUGGUGUGUUUGGCAAGAGCCAUUAUAAGAAAGAACAAAAUCCUUGUGAUGGAUGAAGCAACGGCCAAUGUGGACCCAAAGACCGACACUCUGAUCCAGAAAACCAUAAGGCAGAAGUUUAAUGAUUGCACAGUAUUGACAAUUGCCCAUAGGCUACAUACAGUAAUGGACAGUGACAAAGUGUUGGUGAUGGAUGCAGGGAUUGUAGUGGAAUAUGAUCACCCACACAAGUUACUACAAAACAUGAAUGGAUAUUUGUAUAAAAUGGUGGAACAGACUGGAAAAUCCAUGAUGGAAAGCUUAAUUAAAGUUGCUGAAGAGAGCUACAGAUCACAAGGAAAAAGCUGAAUAUAUAAACUGGUAUUAAUAAUGGAAUAGAUGCUGUUACAUUCCGUCAGUUGUGAUCUGAAGCCGUGUUUGAUUGGCCUUACUUCCUAGUCAAGAUACAUAUAGAAAGGAAAACAAAGUGAAUUUACUAUGACAGUUUACUUACGUGUCCCACAGAUCUCAGGGAUUUUCAGUAUUUAUAAGAACUGAAAAACUCAGUAUAUGUUUUGUAUGUGUAAUGUAUAAAUUAUAAAAACAUUUUAUAAUGUGAAUAUGUGAAGUGUGAUUCAUUGUAUGUAAAUAUGUAUUAUGUUUAUAAAGAGUGGUCAUGCUCUCUUGUACUUAAAGUACCUUGCACAAAAUAAACAACUUUUUGAUA
rnacentral:misc_RNA from 1 species